GGAUUUACCUAUGAUCUGGCUGGCUCCCUUCCUCCCUCACCACUCCAUGCUCAUCCUGAAGCUGCUUAGUCAAAGAGGACAGCCUUCCCUAACCUUCAGGCAAGGGAAUCCGAGUAGCUGUGUUCCACUGCUAGAACCUCCAAGCAAACCCUCAAAGAGUUGCUGUGGUCAUGGUGUUUCUUCAUCACAACAAAAAUCCUGAGAUACCAGCUCAGCCUACACUCUUAAGAGUGGUCUAGC
rfam:Rattus norvegicus chromosome 2, whole genome shotgun sequence.